rnacentral:piRNA from 1 species
UGAUGCAUCAGCCUAUUCUCCCAG